rnacentral:rRNA from 1 species
GUCCAGACUCCUACGGGAGGCAGCAGUGGGGAAUAUUGCACAAUGGGGGAAACCCUGAUGCAGCGACGCCGCGUGAGUGAAGAAGUAUUUCGGUAUGUAAAGCUCUAUCAGCAGGGAAGAAAAUGACGGUACCUGACUAAGAAGCCCCGGCUAACUACGUGCCAGCAGCCGCGGUAAUACGUAGGUGGCAAGCGUUAUCCGGAUUUACUGGGUGUAAAGGGCGUGUAGGCGGGAAAGCAAGUCAGAUGUGAAAACCAUGGGCUCAACCUGUGGCCUGCAUUUGAAACUGUUGGUCUUGAGUAUCGGAGAGGCAGGCGGAAUUCCUAGUGUAGCGGUGAAAUGCGUAGAUAUUAGGAGGAACACCAGUGGCGAAGGCGGCCUGCUGGACGACAACUGACGGUGAGGCGCGAAAGCGUGGGGAGCAAACAGGAUUAGAUACCCUCGUA